UAGGGAAUAUUGCAAAAUGGGCGAAAGCCCGAUGCAGCAACGCCGCGUGGGCGAUGAAGGCCUUCGGGUCGUAAAGCCCUUUUUGAGGGGAUGAGGAAGGACAGUACCCUCAGAAUAAGCCUCGGCUAACUACGUGCCAGCAGCCGCGGUAAAACGUAGGAGGCGAGCGUUAUCCGGAUUUACUGGGCGUAAAGCGCGUGCAGGCGGAUUGGAGAGUUGGAUGUGAAAGCUCCCGGCUUAACUGGGAGAGGUCGUUCAAUACUUCCAGUCUUGAGUGCAGUAGAGGGAAGUGGAAUUCCAGGUGUAGUGGUGAAAUGCGUAGAUAUCCGGAGGAACACCAGUGGCGAAAGCGGCUCCCUGGACUGUAACUGACGCUCAGACGCGAAAGCUAGGGUAGCAAACG
rnacentral:rRNA from 1 species